rnacentral:rRNA from 1 species
GUUAGGAAUAUUGGACAAUGGGCGAAAGCCUGAUCCAGCCAUGCCGCGUGAACGAUGAAGGCCUUCGGGUUGUAAAGUUCUUUAGCCGAUGAUUAUAAUGACUGUAGUCGGAAAAUAAGCCCCGGCUAACUUCGUGCCAGCAGCCGCGGUAAUACGAAGGGGGCGAGCGUUAUUCGGAAUCACUGGGCGUAAAGCGUGCGGAGGCGGUUUUGUAAGUUAGGAGUGAAAGCCCAGGGCUCAACCUUGGAAUUGCUCUUAAAACUGCAAGGCUCGAAUCUCGGAGAGGAUAGCGGAAUUUCCAGUGUAGCAGUGAAAUGCGUAGAUAUUGGAAGGAACACCAGUGGCGUAAGCGGCUAUCUGGACGAGUAUUGACGCUGAGGCACGAAAGCGUGGGGAUCAAACAGGAUUAGAUACCCGAGUAGUCC